rnacentral:rRNA from 1 species
AGCGAACGCUGGCGGCAGGCUUAACACAUGCAAGUCGAGCGGGCAUCCUUGUGGUGUCAGCGGCAGACGGGUGAGUAACGCGUGGGAACGUGCCCUUCGGUUCGGAAUAACUCAGGGAAACUUGAGCUAAUACCGGAUACGUGCGAGAGCAGAAAGGUUUAUCUGCCGAAGGAUCGGCCCGCGUCUGAUUAGCUAGUUGGUGAGGUUACGGCUCACCAAGGCGACGAUCAGUAGCUGGUCUGAGAGGAUGAUCAGCCACACUGGGACUGAGACACGGCCCAAACGAGGAGGGGAGGAAGCGGGGGGGGAUGAUGGCAGAGGGGGGGAGCGCGGAACGAGCGAGGGGGGGAGGGUGAUGCCGGCCGGGGGGUUGACAGGCUCUUUCAUCCGGAAAAAGGUGGGCGAGGGAGGAAAAAGAGGCCCGGGAAAGCGUCGUGCCGGGAGCCGAGGUAAGAAAAAGAAGAGAACGAAGCUGACC